rnacentral:tRNA from 1 species
CCUUCGAUAGCUCAGUUGGUAGAGCGGUGGACUGUAGAUUGGUGAUUUACUAUAGAUAGACAUAGACAUCCAUAGGUCGCUGGUUCAAAUCCGGCUCGAAGGA